UCCGAAUUGGUGUAGUGGCUAACAUUUGACGCUCUCAUCUGCCUCGUUGUUCCUAACCCUCAUCUGAGGUGUAGGAAGGGGGGUAUCGGUGCCGUCAAGCCCGGGGUUCGAUUCCCCGAUUCGGAG